rnacentral:lncRNA from 1 species
CCCAGAGAACCUGUGUCUACUUCUGAGCGCUGGGAAUGAAGCAGAUCUCGCAAAAGGGGAGGAAGGCCUUCACCGCUGAACCCGAGCUUUGCCAUUUCGAAGUGCUGAGUCACCUCGUCCUCUCAGGGUCAGACACUUUCACGCAGGAAACGUCCUGCAGAGCACCGCAGCGGGAGCACCGAGCUGACCUGGAAGGAGAGAACAAGGGCCUUCCUGAGGCAGGACAAGGACCCAGAACUACCCAGAAUGCAGCAGGGCGGCCCCGCACGACUGAGCUCUGAUCCUAACCUGCAAAGUGAAGUUUCAAUUUCCACUUCCUGAGAAGAUGUGGAAACUCAGAGAGGAUGCCACUGUUUUGAACUAUUUUGAAGGCACAGCCACCAGAGCUUUAGGGACAGGGUAUUUUAUCACAGCAACAGAAAUGAAACCAAAACAACUCCACAAUAAAAUUCUUGAGUUUCUUGGGGCCAAGAAGAUGACACGAUAAGAUAAAGACACUGGCCAAGCAUGACCUCCAGAGUUUGGCCCUUGCAUAAAGGAGAAAAUUAAUUCCUUCAGUUGUUCUCUGACCUCCACAUGCGUCCUGUAACAUGGGUGUAUGCAUACACAUAAACACACAUCCACACGUUGUUAAAUAAAUAAAAAAAAUAUGUUAACA